rnacentral:rRNA from 1 species
GACGAACGCUGGCGGCGUGCUUAACACAUGCAAGUCGAACGGAAAGGCCCUGCUUUUGUAGGGUGCUCGAUUGGCGAACGGGUGAGUAACACGUGAGUAACCUGCCCUUGACUUUGGGGUAACUUCAGGAAACUGGGGCUAAUACCGGAUAGGAGCUCCUGCUGCAUGGUGGGGGUUGGAAAGUUUCGGCGGUUGGGGAUGGACUCGCGGCUUAUCAGCUUGUUGGUGGGGUAGUGGCUUACCAAGGCUUUGACGGGUAGCCGGCCUGAGAGGGUGACCGGCCACAUUGGGACUGAGAUACGGCCCAGACUCCUACGUGCGGCAGCAGUGGGGAAUAUUGCACAAUGGGCGGAAGCCUGAUGCAGCAACGCCGCGUGCGGGAUGACGGCCUUCGGGUUGUAAACCGCUUUCGCCUGUGACGAAGCGUGAGUGACGGUAAUGGGUAAAGAAGCACCGGCUAACUACGUG